rnacentral:lncRNA from 1 species
CCAGAUUGAGCUGGCCAAGUUUGGUACAAGAGCUAAGAGUCUGGGAACAAUGGGAGGUCAGCUUUCUGUGUCACUGUGGAUACAAAGGAAGUACUUUUGAGACACAGACAGGAAGUGACUGAGGACUUUAAGGGCAGCUUGGGCUAUCCAGGAAAGUUCUUCAUUCUUGUUUUUUUCUGCUGAGGCUCUAGAGGGACACCUGUCAGACUGACCAAGGCCGAAGAUGGCUCCCUACCAGAGAGAUUCAACUGAGGGCUUGCGAUAGGUCUUGUGACAUUGCUAUUGAUCUUGAGACAUUCAUCUGAAGCAUGAUUGUCACUGGCUUCAAACUUUCCUCAUCAUAAGAGAGGGACUGGGUCUACUUCAAAUGUUUCGCACUAAUGAAGUUAACAUUCCCUUUCAUGGUGAGCUCUGCCCUCAUCAUGAGACCAUGCCCAGGCUAGUCUGCUGGAAGGAAGUCAGAGGCACACGGAAGAGAGCCACAUUCAGCCAAGGCCAUUCUAGACCAGUUGUUCCCUGUCACUUCACUAAUUGGCCACAGCACAAGGUGCAGCUGACAGCCAGCUUGCAACCACAAGGAUGGCCACCAUGAAGUCAAAGGAGAACUGAGAGAAGAACCAAGAAACAGACCAGGAACCCUGACCGAACUGCUCUGAAAAGCCCCUGCUUCUGGACUCCAUUGUGUAAAAUACAUUUCCCCGUUGCCUAAGCCUGGUCAAGACAUACUUUUGUUACUUGCAGCUAAAAGAAUCCCAGCGGAUAUAUUCAUCUUUCCAGCUUUAUCUCCAGCCAUACAGGAUAACUUGCUUCUCUUGAAAUUUCCCCUCACAGUCCUACCUUGGUGCCUUCUCUCAUUCUUGUCUUCACCUGGAAUGCUCUCCCCAAACUAUAUUGUUAAGGUCUUAUACACUCUUCAAAGUCCAGAUUCAAAGGCACCAACUUAUCCUCAUUCAGAAGGACUCUCUGCCCUCCUGAGUCUCCAAGAUGCUUUGUGUACACCUGAUGGCACCAAAACAUCCACUCUACAGCACGCUCAUCUGCCUCCUUCACGGGAUGGCAUAUUCCAGGGAGGCUGCUUCUCUUUAUAAUUUUGAAUCCCCUAGUCUGGAACAAAGUGUGCUUAGGAGAUAUUUGUUGCAUUAAGAUGUGAAAUUCAAUACAAAUGAUAACCAAAAGUCAAAUGAUGGUAACAAAAGCAAUCAGUGUUAAGUAAGGCAGAAAGGGAUGGGAUCUCUCUGGGCUGGAGCAGUGAGGGUGGGAACUGUGGCUCAUGUCUUGUAAUCCCAGCACUUCGAGAGGCUGAGGUCGAAGGAUUGCUUGAGCCCAGGAGUUUGACAGCAGGCUAGGCAACACAGCAAGACCCUGCCUCUACAAAAAAUUAAAAAAUUAGCUAGGUAUGGUAGCACGCAACUGUAGUCCCAGCUACUCGGGAGGCUGAAGUGGAAGAGUUGCUUGGGGCCAAAAGUGUGAGGCUGUACUCCACCCUGGGUAACAGAGUGAGACUCUAUCAAAAAGAAAAAAAAAAAGAAGAAGAAGAAGGAGAAAGAAAAGAAGUAAAGAAGAAAUAAGUGCUACUUAUGUCUUGGGAUGUGCCCCAACUAAUAGGUAGAAUUUGGAUAUGUUGGCUUGGGGGGAAUUCCUCCAUGGAGAGGACUAAGCUGAUGCAGGGAUCUGUUUCUCAUUCCUCUACUCAUUGUAGUAUGUUUGAGGGUUUCUUUGUAAUUGUUGGGAAAUGUGGUCUCUGUAAUAAAAUUAUGGUGGGUGGAAGAGGAGAAAAGUUGGUUUUGUCCAAGUGGAAAUGAGUUCUUCAUUUUUUCUAUGAUUAUAAAAUGAAUAAACACAAGUGGCAGUUGGGGAUGGGCUGGGAGCAUUUCAAGAUGGUUUUUAUAAGCCCAACAAAGUAUAGCUGUGAGACAGAGGGGAUGUUGAACUCAUCACCAUGUUCCUCCAGGUAUCCAGACAUUCCCUCUGUUUCAGGGGCUUAAGUGUUCAGGCUGUUAUAAAGAGGGUUGUCCAUCCAUAUAAGGUACUAUGGCAGACACAUUAUGUGUUCUUAUUAUCUCAUCUUCUUCAUGAUCACACGAGAAGACUACAAGUGCUGCCAUGUGACUGGGUCUUGCCAGUGGAAUAUAGGUGGUAAUAAUGUACAACUCCACUUCCAAGCCUAGCCCCUAAAAUGGCCCAUGCAAUCUUUCAUGGUCUCUCUCUCAUUGUCUGGUUGAAUCUACAAGUUCCAGUGGAAGACUCUGAGGAGGACUUAAGCAAGGCAAACCCACCAGAUGAAGGAAGCCUGAAUCCCAGAGUCUCACUGCUUGGAGGAAAACUGCUCUAGAGAGCUGCUUGACCAAGAACACCUGCAUUGAACCUCGUGUGAGAAAGAAAUAAAGUUCUACUACUAC